ACGUAGGUGGCAAGCGUUGUCCGGAAUUAUUGGGCGUAAAGCGCGCGCAGGCGGUCCUUUAAGUCUGAUGUGAAAGCCCACGGCUCAACCGUGGAGGGUCAUUGGAAACUGGGGGACUUGAGUGCAGAAGAGGAAAGUGGAAUUCCACGUGUAGCGGUGAAAUGUGUAGAGAUCGGGAGGAACACCGGUGGCGAAGGCGGGACUCUGGGCCUACCCUGACGCUGAGGCGCGAAGGCGUGGGGAGCGAACGGGA
rnacentral:rRNA from 1 species